UAGUUAAGUUGGCUUCUCCUCCUACAACUUAAAAGUUGGUGUUCAAACAUUUCGUCCCAGGUCUUAUGUUCUUAAGGAUGCUCAAAUCAACUCAGUUUAAUUUGAUCAUUGAGCUAUCUGGAUUUAGGUGCAUUUCAUCAGAAAUGACAACACCAAGAAUUUAAGAUGGCAAUGGGAAUCAGUUUUUUGGCACAUGAAGAGGAAGUGAACACUAGAAUGUCCAGACCACUCUAUGAGAUUCUGAUUGUAUGGAAAAAAUAUGCCCAAAUAGAUGAAGGGAAGCUUCUACUGGUUGUUUCUUUAAUUCAGAGAUGGGGCACAAAAGUAACACUGCAUGUCUUACGACUAAAUGGUAUGUAUCUAGGAUUCCGUCGCCGGAAAGCUGAGGUGAGGUCUAACUAUUCUUUAACUUCUGUUUUCCUAGCUAUUGGUGCAUAUAUCAUGAUUAUUGAAUUAAAUAGCACGCCUGUUUAACUAAAUAUUAACAAUGGCAGAGAACCACAAUGUAAUUAAGUAGGGAAGAAACUAGAAUCUGCUAUCCAAUGUUCCACUUGAUGUCCGAUUCAGUUUGCAUUUUUGGAAGUCCUCCCAAUUCAUUCUUUUGAGUUAUGGCCAACAUAUUUUACAUAUUUUGCAGUAUCGAAAAUGUACUUAGCUCCUCUUCCUUUUAAUUGAUUUCACUGACCUUUCACAUUAGCAUCUGCCUGAUGACCGAUUGUUCUUUGUUCUCAUUCUUACCUGAUAAGUUGGCUAUAGCUGCAAACAAACUGUAAAUGCACCAGUAUGUGCUAUCUAAAUUCUGUGUCAGUCAUUCAUAUAAACCGACUCAUGUUACUUUGCUAAGGACACCCACUGCUUGAAGUUUCCAUACUACCACAUGCGCUCUCUAAUGCAAAUUAAGUCUUAGUACAAC